rnacentral:rRNA from 1 species
GAUGAACGCUGGCGGCAGGCCUAAUACAUGCAAGUCGAGGGGUAGAAGAGGCUUGCUUCUUUGAGACCGGCGCACGGGUGCGUAACGCGUAUGCAACCUACCUUCAUCUGGGGGAUAGCCCGGAGAAAUCCGGAUUAAUACCGCAUAAAAUCACAGGAUGGCAUUAUCCAAUGAUCAAACAUUUAUGGGAUGGAGAUGGGCAUGCGUGUCAUUAGCUAGUUGGCGGGGUAACGGCCCACCAAGGCGACGAUGACUAGGGGAUCUGAGAGGAUGGCCCCCCACACUGUUACUGAGACACGGACCAGAUUCCUACGGGAGGCAACAGUAAGGAAUAUUGGUCAAUGUAGGCAAUUCUGAACCAGCCAUGCCGCGUGCAGGAAGACUGCCCUAUGGGUUGUAAACUGCUUUUAUUCGGGAAUAAACCUUAUUACGUGUAAUAAGCUGAAUGUACCGAAGGAAUAAGGAGCGGCUAACUCCGUGCCAGCAGCCGCAGUAA